UGCGAGUCGAGAGGGUUCGGCCCUCGGCUGACGGCUCAGUAACACGUGGAUAAUCUGCCCUAGAGUGGGGGAUAACCUCGGGAAACUGAGAAUAAUACUCCAUAGGUCUAGAAUGCUGGAAUGCAUCUAGGUUGAAAGCUCCGGCGCUCUAGGAUGAGUCUGCGGACUAUCAGGUUGUAGUCAGGGUAUGACCUGACUAGCCUACGACGGAUAUGGGUUGUGAGAGCAAUAACCCAGAGACGAUAUCUGAGACACGAUAUCGGGCCCUACGGGGCGCAGCAGGCGCGAAAACUUCACACUGUGCGAAAGCACGAUGAGGGAAUCCCAAGUGCUUACUCGUAAGAGUAAGCUGUUUUUCUGUCUAAAACACAGAGAGAGUAAGAGCUGGGUAAGACGGGUGCCAGCCGCCGCGGUAAUACCUGCAGCUCGAGUGGUGGCCGCUAUUAUUGGGCCUAAAACGUUUGUAGCCGGUUUAGUAAAUGCCCGGGUAAAUUGUGUAGCUCAACUAUACGAAUUCCGGGUAGACUGCUAGGCUUGAGACCGGGAGAAGCUAGAGGUACUCCUGGGGGUAGAGGUGAAAUUUUGUAAUCCUAGGGGGACCACCAGUGGCGAAGGCGUCUAGCUAGAACGGGUCUGACGGUAAGGGACGAAGCCCUGGGGCGCAAACCGGAUUAGAUACCCGGGUAGUCCAGGGUGUAAACGCUGCUUGCUUGAUGUUAGUCGAGCUCCGAGCCCGAUUA
rnacentral:rRNA from 1 species